GUUGGCUUAGAAGCAGCCAUCCUUUAAAGAAAGCGUAACAGCUCACUGGUCUAGACAAGCCGGCCUGCGCCGAAGAUGUAUCGGGGCUAAAGCCAUACACCGAAGCUGAGGACGUGCAUUGCACGUGGUAGCGGAGCGUUCUGUAAGUCUGCGAAGCCCAACCGCGAGGUUGGGUGGAGAUAUCAGAAGUGAGAAUGCUGACAUGAGUAGCGAUAAAGAGUGUGAGAAACACUCUCGCCGUAAGCCCAAGGGUUCCUGCGCAAGGCUAAUCCGCGCAGGGUGAGUCGGCCCCUAAGACGAGGGCGAAAGCCGUAGUCGAUGGGAAUCAGGUUAAUAUUCCUGAACCCGAUGGUAGUGACGGAUGACGUAAGUUGUACAUGCUUAUCGGAUUGUGUGUGCAGCGAAGUUGUUCCAGGAAAUAGCUCCAUCAUUAGGACCGUACCCCAAACCGACACAGGUGGGCAGGUAGAGCAUACCGAGGCGCUUGAGAGAACGAUGUUGAAGGAACUCGGCAAAUUGCCCCCGUAACUUCGGGAGAAGGGGGACCUCCAUUAAGGCAACUUUUUGGAGGUGGCACAGACCAGGGGGUGGCGACUGUUUAUUAAAAACACAGGGCUCUGCGAAGUAGUUAAUACGACGUAUAGGGUCUGACGCCUGCCCGGUGCCGGAAGGUUAAGAGGAGGUGUGAGAGCUCCGAAUUGAAGCCCCGGUAAACGGCGGCCGUAACUAUAACGGUCCUAAGGUAGCGAAAUUCCUUGUCGGGUAAGUUCCGACCUGCACGAAUGGCGUAACGACUUCCCCACUGUCUCCAACAUAGACUCAGCGAAAUUGAAUUGCCUGUCAAGAUGCAGGCUUCCCGCGGUUAGACGGAAAGACCCCGUGCACCUUUACUACAACUUCGCACUGGCAUCAGGCACAACAUGUGCAGGAUAGGUGGUGGGCUUUGAAGCAGUAACGCCAGUUAUUGUGGAGCCUCCCUUGAGAUACCACCCUUGUUCUGCUUGAUGUCUAACUGCGGUCCAUUAUCUGGAUCCAGGACCCUGCGUGGUGGGUAGUUUGACUGGGGCGGUCGCCUCCUAAAGAGUAACGGAGGCGCGCGAAGGUUGGCUCAGAGCGGUCGGACAUCGCUCGUUGAGUGCAAUGGCAGAAGCCAGCCUGACUGCGAGACUGACAAGUCGAGCAGAGUCGAAAGACGGCCAUAGUGAUCCGGUGGUCCCGCGUGGAAGGGCCAUCGCUCAACGGAUAAAAGGUA
rnacentral:rRNA from 1 species